GAUGAACGCUGGCGGCGUGCCUAAUACAUGCAAGUCGAGCGAACAGAUAAGGAGCUUGCUCCUUUGAAGUUAGCGGCGGACGGGUGAGUAACACGUGGGUAACCUACCUAUAAGACUGGGAUAACUUCGGGAAACCGGAGCUAAUACCGGAUAACAUUUAGAACCGCAUGGUUCUAAAGUGAAAGAUGGUUUUGCUAUCACUUAUAGAUGGACCCGCGCCGUAUUAGCUAGUUGGUAAGGUAACGGCUUACCAAGGCGACGAUACGUAGCCGACCUGAGAGGGUGAUCGGCCACACUGGAACUGAGACACGGUCCAGACUCCUACGGGAGGCAGCAGUAGGGAAUCUUCCGCAAUGGGCGAAAGCCUGACGGAGCAACGCCGCGUGAGUGAUGAAGGGUUUCGGCUCGUAAAACUCUGUUAUUAGGGAAGAACAAAUGUGUAAGUAACUGUGCACAUCUUGACGGUACCUAAUCAGAAAGCCACGGCUAACUACGUGCCAGCAGCCGCGGUAAUACGUAGGUGGCAAGCGUUAUCCGGAAUUAUUGGGCGUAAAGCGCGCGUAGGCGGUUUCUUAAGUCUGAUGUGAAAGCCCACGGCUCAACCGUGGAGGGUCAUUGGAAACUGGGAAACUUGAGUGCAGAAGAGGAAAGUGGAAUUCCAUGUGUAGCGGUGAAAUGCGCAGAGAUAUGGAGGAACACCAGUGGCGAAGGCGACUUUCUGGUCUGUAACUGACGCUGAUGUGCGAAAGCGUGGGGAUCAAACAGGAUUAGAUACCCUGGUAGUCCACGCCGUAAACGAUGAGUGCUAAGUGUUAGGGGGUUUCCGCCCCUUAGUGCUGCAGCUAACGCAUUAAGCACUCCGCCUGGGGAGUACGACCGCAAGGUUGAAACUCAAAGGAAUUGACAGGGGACCCGCACAAGCGGUGGAGCAUGUGGUUUAAUUCGAAGCAACGCGAAGAACCUUACCAAAUCUUGACAUCCUUUGAAAACUCUAGAGAUAGAGCCUUCCCCUUCGGGGGACAAAGUGACAGGUGGUGCAUGGUUGUCGUCAGCUCGUGUCGUGAGAUGUUGGGUUAAGUCCCGCAACGAGCGCAACCCUUAAGCUUAGUUGCCAUCAUUAAGUUGGGCACUCUAGGUUGACUGCCGGUGACAAACCGGAGGAAGGUGGGGAUGACGUCAAAUCAUCAUGCCCCUUAUGAUUUGGGCUACACACGUGCUACAAUGGACAAUACAAAGGGCAGCUAAACCGCGAGGUCAUGCAAAUCCCAUAAAGUUGUUCUCAGUUCGGAUUGUAGUCUGCAACUCGACUACAUGAAGCUGGAAUCGCUAGUAAUCGUAGAUCAGCAUGCUACGGUGAAUACGUUCCCGGGUCU
rnacentral:rRNA from 1 species